ACGAACGCUGGCGGCGUGCCUAAUACAUGCAAGUCGAACGCUUCUUUUUCCACCGGAGCUUGCUCCACCGGAAAAAGAGGAGUGGCGAACGGGUGAGUAACACGUGGGUAACCUGCCCAUCAGAAGGGGAUAACACUUGGAAACAGGUGCUAAUACCGUAUAACAAUCGAAACCGCAUGGUUUUGAUUUGAAAGGCGCUUUCGGGUGUCGCUGAUGGAUGGACCCGCGGUGCAUUAGCUAGUUGGUGAGGUAACGGCUCACCAAGGCGACGAUGCAUAGCCGACCUGAGAGGGUGAUCGGCCACAUUGGGACUGAGACACGGCCCAAACUCCUACGGGAGGCAGCAGUAGGGAAUCUUCGGCAAUGGACGAAAGUCUGACCGAGCAACGCCGCGUGAGUGAAGAAGGUUUUCGGAUCGUAAAACUCUGUUGUUAGAGAAGAACAAGGAUGAGAGUAACUGUUCAUCCCUUGACGGUAUCUAACCAGAAAGCCACGGCUAACUACGUGCCAGCAGCCGCGGUAAUACGUAGGUGGCAAGCGUUGUCCGGAUUUAUUGGGCGUAAAGCGAGCGCAGGCGGUUUCUUAAGUCUGAUGUGAAAGCCCCCGGCUCAACCGGGGAGGGUCAUUGGAAACUGGGAGACUUGAGUGCAGAAGAGGAGAGUGGAAUUCCAUGUGUAGCGGUGAAAUGCGUAGAUAUAUGGAGGAACACCAGUGGCGAAGGCGGCUCUCUGGUCUGUAACUGACGCUGAGGCUCGAAAGCGUGGGGAGCAAACAGGAUUAGAUACCCUGGUAGUCCACGCCGUAAACGAUGAGUGCUAAGUGUUGGAGGGUUUCCGCCCUUCAGUGCUGCAGCUAACGCAUUAAGCACUCCGCCUGGGGAGUACGACCGCAAGGUUGAAACUCAAAGGAAUUGACGGGGGCCCGCACAAGCAGUGGAGUAUGUGGUUUAAUUCGAAGCAACGCGAAGAACCUUACCAGGUCUUGACAUCCGAUGCAUAGUGCAGAGAUGCAUGAAGUCCUUCGGGACAUCGAGACAGGUGGUGCAUGGUUGUCGUCAGCUCGUGUCGUGAGAUGUUGGGUUAAGUCCCGCAACGAGCGCAACCCUUAUUGUUAGUUGCCAUCAUUUAGUUGGGCACUCUAGCAAGACUGCCGGUGACAAACCGGAGGAAGGUGGGGAUGACGUCAAAUCAUCAUGCCCCUUAUGACCUGGGCUACACACGUGCUACAAUGGGAAGUACAACGAGUCGCAAAGUCGCGAGGCUAAGCUAAUCUCUUAAAGCUUCUCUCAGUUCGGAUUGUAGGCUGCAACUCGCCUACAUGAAGCCGGAAUCGCUAGUAAUCGCGGAUCAGCACGCCGCGGUGAAUACGUUCCCGGGCCUUGUACACACCGCCCGUCACACCACGAGAGUUUGUAACACCCGAAGUCGGUGAGGUAACCUUUUGGAGCCAGCCGCCUAAGGUGGGAUAGAUGAUUGGGGUG
rnacentral:rRNA from 1 species